rnacentral:rRNA from 1 species
CCUACGGGAGGCAGCAGUGAGGAAUAUUGGUCAAUGGGCGAGAUCCUGAACCAGCCAAGCCGCGUGAGGGAAGACGGCCCUAUGGGUUGUAAACCUCUUUUGUCGGAGAACAAAACCCGGGACGUGUCCCGGACUGCGUGUAUCCGAAGAAAAAGCAUCGGCUAACUCCGUGCCAGCAGCCGCGGUAAUACGGAGGAUGCGAGCGUUAUCCGGAUUUAUUGGGUUUAAAGGGUGCGUGGACGGUCGGUUAAGUCAGUGGUAAAAUUGCGGGGCUCAACCCCGUCGAGCCGUUGAUACUGGCAGACUUGAGUAGACGAGAGGUAGGCGGAAUGCGUGGUGUAGCGGUGAAAUGCAUAGAUAUCGCGCAGAACUCCGAUUGCGAAGGCAGCGUACCGGAGCCAGACUGACGUUGAGGCACGAAAGCGUGGGGAUCGAACAGGAUUAGAUACCCUUGUAGUC